AUAUUUAAAUAUCUAAUUGAAAAAUACUAUUUAUUCUAAUUUAGUUUUAAUUUUGACCAAAAAGAUGGUUCAACAAUUAAAUUUAUGAGGGGUAAAUAUAAAUAAUUAUAUAUAAGGAUUUUUUUAACAAAAGGAGGGGUCAAUUUAGCUCUCUUUUAAUGAAUUGCAUCUGCCAUUGAUAAUAAGUCAUCUAUUUCAUCAUGGUUGCUGUUACAUCAUUUGU
rnacentral:misc_RNA from 1 species